AGUGACAUCCGCCGCGGCCGCGCCUCCCUUAACACGCCAGCAGAACGAACGACGGCGAGGACGCAAUAGGCAGGAGGAGUCGCUGUUCAAAUCGCACAAAGAGAGAUCUUCUCCCCCUACUCAAGCCUGCCCUGCCUUGCCCUGCCUGCUAGUAUAAGGUAUUUCUAAGUGGACUACAAGACAACCGUGAAAAAUUUGAGGAAAACUAGAUGCGAGGUUUGACAUCUUGUAAUAAGUCUACACACGAAUGCGAGCUACUGCCCAGCCUCGAACUGUGCCCGGGCGUCAGCAAACCGGCAGUGUCCGCCAGUGCCCCAUGUUACCUCUGCAGUGUUUUGAGAAACUAUGCAGACUAUAUUAAGGUAUGGCCCUCCACUACGCCCACAACACUACGUCAAGGCUCCUGAUGGCCCUGCUGCUGACGGUGGUGAUGGGGACGCCGUGCACCUCCACCAGCACAGUUCAUUUAGUCAAUACGUCGGGAUGGUCAGUGGAGAAAAUCUCUCUCCCAGACGAACGGGCAGUUUACCUCCUCUUCUGGAUGGAGGAAGAGGAAGACAAUGAGCCGGAGGAAAGUAAAGAGGCAGAUCCAGGAGAGGAGGAGGAAGAGGAAGAGGAAGAGGAAACGGGGAUAAUAAAAGUAUUAGAAGAAGAGGAUGUAGACGUUGGCCCACUUGUGCAGUUCAAAGAAGAUGGAGAGGAAGACGAAGAAGAAAGACUAGCCCGAGAGGAAGAGGAGGAAGAGGAAGAAAUGACACUAUUGAAAACUGUGAAAGAGGAAGAAAAGGCAACGGAACAGGAAGGAAGCGAGAUCGGAAAAGCACUUCUCCAGGGAGGGAUGCAAGAGAAAGGAACGCGGGAUGGAAGGGAAGGGGUGAAGGAAGAGGGGAGUGUAACCCUCUCCUACUUCGUCUUUUCCUCCGAGUACCCAGCCCUCAAGUUUCAUUUGCCUCAGCGUAACGUGUGGUACUUCGGUCACUUCGAUUUCCACCAUGUGCACAUCCCGGUGGCGGACGUCUCCAAGAACCCCGUCCCCAGCUCGUGGUGGGGACGCACUGUCAAGGUGUCCAGCGGCUCAACCGUUUACUGGUACGUCUGUCCCACACCAAAACGCUGCGGUAAGUGCCAUUCAAAAUAUAUCGUCUUGCUCGGUGGGUGGUUACACUUUUUUCAACGUCACAUAACUAAUUGUAUGAUGAGUCGUAUUAAGCAAUGUCAGAACAACAGUGCAUUGAGAAGUAAUAACAGAGGAUAAUGUAACUUUUUUACUCAAAAUACAUUAAAACAUCAAAUGUGGCGUUAGCUAGUCAAGAGAAAACAAAUAAUCCGUUAAGUGUUUCAGUGAUUUUCCUUAACUGUUCUAAAUUAACUACAUUCCCUACCACAUCCGCUACUUACAAAUCGUGUUAAAUAUAAAAAUAGAACGCACAACAAGAAUGUAAUCAGAGUAAACAAAGAGCGGGAAACUUUCAAAAAUGCUUUACUUUUCUGCUGCUUCUGGGCAAUCCCACAUCCUGCAAUUAAGCCAUGACUGAAGUUCCUUACUUUCUUGCAAGCACGUGACCCUUCGAAGAAGACCCGCUACGUCAGUACGUUAGCGCGGCGUCAUCCUUCUCGUGGACCCAGAAACUCCGCUUUGUUGCCUCACCGGAAA